GGAAUCGCUAGUAAUCGCGGAUCAGAAUGCCGCGGUGAAUACGUUCCCGGGUCUUGUACACACCGCCCGUCACACCAUGGGAGUCGGUAACACCCGAAGCCGAUAGUCUAACGAAAGAGGACGUCGUCGAAGGUGGGAUUGAUGACUGGGGUGAAGUCGUAACAAGGUAUC
rnacentral:rRNA from 1 species